GUCGUAUGGUUUAAUAAUUGAGAUUUUAUUUUAAAAAGAUAUAGAAAAUUUGAAGAACAUAAUGACGUUUGUUUUCUUUUCCUUUCAAUACAGACAGCCGUGCCAUUAUUAAUAUACAUCGGGAAAAUUUCCACAAUACAAGUUGAUGAAAAAGAAAGAAAGACAUUCUCGUGUCUAUAUGAUUAAAUUUAUGCAACCCCAAGAAUAAAUGAAGCUGGC
rnacentral:misc_RNA from 1 species